GGCACGGUACGCGAAUCGGCAUAGCGGCGAAGCUUAAACCUUGGUGAUUGCGGGUUCGAAUCCCGCCCGUGCUA
rnacentral:tRNA from 2 species